ensembl:lncRNA
CAAGGAUCUGCUUCAAAGUCAACAUUCUGAACGUCCAUUGCAUGAGGCCCGAUUCAGACGUCUGAGAUCGAGAAUCGAUCUAAAAAACCUCCACCGCACAGAGGUGCUCGAAGGGGUGGGGAAUGAUCGCGAGCCGUCUUCGAGGAGGUUCCGGCAUUUGUGAGAACUUGCCCUCUCCUCUUCCUCUCUGCAUGCAGAUCAGGAUGACUUCUUAGGCUCAGGGUCCAGCACUACAUGAGGGACCUUGGUGGUUCAGGAAGGGAUACCUCCUUGCCGUCCGGCGCUGUUGUUGGAUGUCAGGUUCCGGCUUGUGCGAGAGCUGAGACUGUGCCGUCUUUGCAGGCUGCUGUGUGGACGUUGGCUUGGGGCGGCUUGAAACAGUCGCCAUGCUGGAACGCUUAGAAAAAGUCCCUUGGAGAAAACCAAGUAAUCGAGGAAGGCCAUCUUUUUGCUGUCCCUGAUGUCCAUAAAGUUUAGCCAUAGAUGGUGUUCCAGCACUACCAGGCUAGCCAUGGUCUUGCCCACUGUCUGCAUCAUUGCUGUGGUAGCGUGCAGGGCCAGAUCUGUCGCCGUACGCAGCUCCGUAAAGGCGCCAGGAUCCCGACCAGACUCGUCCAUGUCCCAGAGAAAUUUGGCCUGAAACACUUGAAGCACAGACAUUGUAUGCAGGGUUGAACCGGCAUGGCCAGCUGCUGCAUAAGCACUGUUGGCUAGGGCUGAUGUCAUCCUGCAGGGCUUUGAGGAAUGCUCUGCAGCAUUAAGCCCACGGCUCAACGGUGGAAGAAGGUGAGCAGCCACCGCCUCUUCCAGAGGGAGGAACUUGCAAUACCCCUUGUCCUCAGCGCUGUCAAUGGUGGUGAGAGCAUCAGCAGUCGAGGGGAUAACACAUGCUGAGUACGGAACACGCCAUGUUAUGGCCAUUCGGGAGCGACUCGCAUUCCUUCUGACCUCCGACGGGUUUCUGCCAAGCCAGCGAAGCUGUAAUUACUGGGGUGGAGGCACUACUGCGAACUCUUUUUCCGGAAAUCUGGGAAUAUCUUACCCACUUAACUGUACUUUGC